GCGGACGUGGCGAAAUUGGUAGACGCACAAGCUUGAGGGGCUAGCAACCGCAAGGUUAUGGGAGUUCGACUCUCCCCGUCCGCA
rnacentral:tRNA from 1 species